rnacentral:rRNA from 1 species
AGAACGAACGCUGGCGGCAGGCCUAAUACAUGCAAGUCGAACGCACUCUUCGGAGUGAGUGGCAGACGGGUGAGUAACGCGUGGGAACCUUCCCAAUGGUACGGAAUAACUCCGGGAAACCGGUGCUAAUACCGUAUAAGCCCCUCGGGGGAAAGAUUUAUCGCCAUUGGAUGGGCCCGCGUCGGAUUAGCUAGUUGGUAAGGUAAUGGCUUACCAAGGCUACGAUCCGUAGCUGGUCUGAGAGGAUGAUCAGCCACACUGGGACUGAGACACGGCCCAGACUCCUACGGGAGGCAGCAGUAGGGAAUCUUGGACAAUGGCGAAAGCCUGAUCCAGCCAUGCCGCGUGAGUGAAGAAGGCCUUAGGGUUGUAAAGCUCUUUUGGCGGGGACGAUAAUGACGGUACCGCAGAAUAACGCCCGGCUAACUUCGUGCCAGCAGCCGC